GUGUCAGCCGCCGCGGUAAAACGUAGGAGACGAACGUUAUCCGGAGUUACUGGGCGUAAAGGGCGUGCAGGCGGCCUGAUAAGUCCGGCGUGAAAUCUUUCGGCUUAACCGGGGGAUGUCGUCGGAGACUGUCGGGCUAGAGGGUGAUAGAGGCGUGUGGAAUUCCGGGUGUAGUGGUGAAAUGCGUAGAGAUCCGGAGGAACACCAGUGGCGAAGGCGACACGCUGGGUCAUACCUGACGCUAAUACGCGACAGCAUGGGGAGCAAACGGGAUUAGAAACCCCGGUAGUCC
rnacentral:rRNA from 1 species